rnacentral:rRNA from 1 species
ACAGCUUGCUGUUGGUGGAUGAGUGGCGAACGGGUGAGUAACACGUGAGUAACCUGCCCCUGAUUUCGGGAUAAGCCUGGGAAACUGGGUCUAAUACCGGAUAUGACCAAUCUUCGCAUGAGGGUUGGUGGAAAGUUUUUCGAUCGGGGAUGGGCUCGCGGCCUAUCAGCUUGUUGGUGGGGUAAUGGCCUACCAAGGCGACGACGGGUAGCCGGCCUGAGAGGGCGACCGGCCACACUGGGACUGAGACACGGCCCAGACUCCUACGGGAGGCAGCAGUGGGGAAUAUUGCACAAUGGGGGAAACCCUGAUGCAGCGACGCAGCGUGCGGGAUGACGGCCUUCGGGUUGUAAACCGCUUUCAGCAGGGAAGAAGCGAAAGUGACGGUACCUGCAGAAGAAGUACCGGCUAACUACGUGCCAGCAGCCGCGGUAAUACGUAGGGUACGAGCGUUGUCCGGAAUUAUUGGGCGUAAAGAGCUCGUAGGUGGUUGGUCACGUCUGCUGUGGAAACGCAACGCUUAACGUUGCGCGUGCAGUGGGUACGGGCUGACUAGAGUGCAGUAGGGGAGUCUGGAAUUCCUGGUGUAGCGGUGAAAUGCGCAGAUAUCAGGAGGAACACCGGUGGCGAAGGCGGGACUCUGGGCUGUAACUGACACUGAGGAGCGAAAGCAUGGGGAGCGAACAGGAUUAGAUACCCUGGUAGUCCAUGCC